rnacentral:rRNA from 1 species
UACGAAGGGGGCUAGCGUUGCUCGGAAUCACUGGGCGUAAAGGGUGCGUAGGCGGGUCUUUAAGUCAGGGGUGAAAUCCUGGAGCUCAACUCCAGAACUGCCUUUGAUACUGAGGAUCUUGAGUUCGGGAGAGGUGAGUGGAACUGCGAGUGUAGAGGUGAAAUUCGUAGAUAUUCGCAAGAACACCAGUGGCGAAGGCGGCUCACUGGCCCCGGUACUGACGCUGAGGUGCGAAAGCGUGGGGAGCAAACAGGG